rnacentral:rRNA from 1 species
CCCUUAGACGUUCUGGGCCGCACGCGCGCUACACUGACCAGUGCAACAAGCAUCCGUCCUUGGCCGACAGGCUCGGGCAAUCUUUGAACGCUGGUCGUGAUGGGGAUAGACUUUUGCAAUUUUUGGUCUUCAACGAGGAAUUCCUAGUAAACGCAAGUCAUCAACUUGCAUUGAUUACGUCCCCGCCCUUUGUACACACCGCCCGUCGCACCUACCGAUUGAAUGGUCCGGUGAAGCCUCCGGAUUGGCGCGCACCUCGGUGCCGCCGAGAAGUUGGCUAAACCUUACCAUUUAGAGGAAGGUGAANUCGUAACA